ACUUGGUUCAAGUGGCACCAGCCAAAUCCCUGCCUUACUGACCUCUCCCCUGGAGGAGCAGGAGCAGCGCUCAAGGCCGCCCUGGGAGGGCUGAGAGGCAGGCUCUGGACUGGGGACACAGGGAUAGCUGAGCCCCAGCUGGGGGUGGAAGCUGAGCCAGGGACAGUCACAGAGGAACAAGAUCAAGAUGCGCUUUAACUGAGAAGCCCCCAAGGCAGAGGCUGAGAAUCAGAAGACAUUUCAGCAGACAUCUACAAAUCUGAAGGACAAAACAUGGUUCAAGCAUCUGGGCACAGGCGGCUGGAUUGUACCAGUGUCCUUUACUGCAGUGACUGAACAUUCUAGGCACAGUAGAUUCAAGAAAUCUUGAGUUCAUUGGCUGCUCGGGCCACUGUAUCAGGUCCACCCGUGGCUCCAAAAUGGUCUCCUGGUCCGUGAUAGCAAAGAUCCAGGAAAUAUGAUGCGAGGAAGAUGAGAGGAAGAUGGCGCGAGAGUUCCUGGCCGAGUUCAUGAGCACAUAUGUCAUGAUGAGAGAGGGUGAUGACUGAUCUGGGGUUGGAGAAGAAAGCACAUGUUUGAGAGGGCUGUGGAAGAUGGAAUCGGGGAGACUCUGCCAGAAGAACAUGUGGGCAAAGCGCCGAUGAGCUGUUCUGGAGCACGGGGCCCAGCACAGGGUGAGAGGCAAGAUGCCUGUAGGGAAAUCCAGGAGAUAGUUAAACACAGGCAAGGGGCUGGAGCUCAGGAGAGGCUUGGUCUGGAAGGAAAAAGUUGAAGUUCAUCACAACACAGGUGGUGGUUGUCAACACUGUCUAGAAGGAGUGUACAGAAAGAGAAAAGGAUGGUUUGAGGACAGAGCCCUGAGGAAUGAAGAGGGGCACGCAAAGGAGCCUGAGAAGGAAUGGUCAGAGAGGUGGGAGGAGAACCAGAGCCGACUGCAUGACAGAGGGGGGCAGUGGUUCCACCAGGAAGAAGCCAUCAGCGGCAUGGGCAGCGGCAGAUGGGCCACGCAAGGUGAGCACUGGCAAGGGGCCUUAGGGUUUGCCAAUGUGGAGGUUGCUGGUAACCUUGACAAGGGCUCUUCUUUAGUGUGUGAUUGGGACAGAAUCCAGACUGCAGGUGGGAUGUGAGGUUGCUCCCUCUCCACCUGCUUCAGCCCUGCCACUUACCCCAGUGAGCCUCUGCCCUUAACAUGACUGUAGCCAUGUUUAUUGCAUCUUAUGCAGGGUCCAGGGUCUAGAGAAAGAAGGGGCAGCCUCUGGGAAGGGAGGCAAAGGCAGCCAGGUGCAUGCUAGAGGAAGGUGGGGUGACAGAGGCUGUUCGUGUGUGUGGUGGGGCCCAUGGAGCUCAAGGGAGAGAGGAAAUUGGAACACCAGGUUUCUUAGCCUGACCCUGCCACUGAGUGACCAGUUGCCUUGGGCAGGUCUCUCCCUGGCUUAAAGCCUGACUUCUCACUUAUAUCGUGUAGAAUUAGGCCUUCGUGGGCUUUGGAGCUGUGUUUGAAUCCUAGCUCUGUUAUCUUCUAGCUGUGCGACUAUCCACAAGUAUCUUAACUGUUC
rnacentral:lncRNA from 1 species